AUGCGAAGGCUGCUGGCCAGCCUGCUGCUGGCGGUGCUCCCCGUCGGGCCCUCCGUGCCCGCCCAGCCCCUCGCAGCGGCCACCGAGCGCGCCCGGGCCUCGCCGAGCCCCGAGGAAGGGGCCGGGGUGCUGGGCCCGCCCCGGGACCCCUGCGCUCAGACGGCGGCUGCGGUAAUUAAAGAUAAUCUUUGGCUUCAAAAAGAGAUGGGAUGUCUGGGAAUGACAGCAAUGCCAUUACUUCUGGCCACUCAAGAAAGUGAAGCCCCUCACCAGUUCUUGACCUCUGCAGCCUCAGACAAUCAGUGGAGCCAUUCGCUGUUUGCAUUGGUACCCUCAUGGACAAAUAAGAUUUUGUUCAAACGAGAGUCUUCUGUUAACCUCCACCUGAUUAAAGAUGUGUCCAAUAUGUCAGUUUCUUCUGGAUUUGGAAUAACCCUUCAGAAAUGUGGUGUGGUGGAUGUUGAACAUGACCCUCAAAUCGCACACAUCACACUUCUGAUUAAUAACACCAACACGCUGCUCUCAACAAACAUUACAGAUCUUAUCCUCCUGGACAAUAUCACUGGUCUUCACGUUCAAAAAAACAGUGGCAAUAAGACCACAGAUGGCAUACAGAUUUAUAGCAAAGGAGUCUUGCAAGGUGGAGAAUACUUUGCAGUCAACUACUCUGCACUUCUUGAUGCAAAAGAAACAUGGGAUGGCAGGGUCUUGAUGCUGCCUGCAAAGCUAACUUUCAAGAGUUCAUCACAGAAUGCAACACAUCUCGUAUCACUGACAGCAUCAUUCACCAUAACUGAAGAAGAAAAGACCAAGAUUUUGUACAGCCAUGCCAUCCAUGCUUCAGGGUUCUUCAUUGCUUUUUUUAUUUCACUCGUACUGACAUGUGCUGUCUUUUUCAUCAUUUACCGAACCCAAAUAUUAAAAUGGAGUUUCCGCAGUAAAAACCAGGAGAUGCAGCAUGAACUCAUCCAGAAUCACAAACUGGAGCAUUCUCAGUUUAAUUCAGGUGAUCUCUUUAGUGAAGAUAUAAUUAUGAACGACCAAAUCAUUGAUAUUCUGUCCUUUGAAGAACCUGGAAACAUGCUUCAGGCUUUAGAAGACUUGGAGGUUGCCAGCCUGACACGGGCAGAUGCCGAUCUGGAGGCAUAUCGAACGCAGAUAUGCAAAGAAGUGAUUGCUAUGAUGAUGAAGAACAUGGUCUUAAGUCACAGCCUCUUUCCUCAUGUGGAGAAGAAGAUGAGUUCAAUUUUCAAAAAGCAGUUUCUUGCAAUGGAGAAGGAGAUUCAAGAGGAAUAUGAAAGGAAGAUGGUGGCUUUAACAGCUGAGUGUAAUCUAGAAACCAGAAAGAAAAUGGAGGCUCAGUGCCAAAAAGCUAGAGCUGUAAAUGAAGAGGCUGAGGAAUUAAUGAAGAAAAUGAAUGAAAAGCCUGCUGUAGAAUACAGAAGUCUUCUGGAUAGACUUCACACACUGGAGCAGGACCAUGUGAAGAGGCUCCUUCUGGUAAAGCAGGAGGAAUAUUUUGCAAAGGCUUAUAGAGAGCUGGCUGUUUGCCAGAGAAAGGAGCUCCAUAAUAUCUUUUUUACACAGAUAACAAAUGCUACUUUCAAGGGAGAACUGAAGUUGGAAGCAGCUAAAACGUUAGUGGAAGGUUACUCUAAAAUACAGGGAGACAUUGAAGAGCUAAUGGAUUUUUUGCAAGCUAGCAAGAAAUAUCAUCUGAGUAGAAGAUUUGCUUACAGAGAGUAUCUCAUAAGUAAGAUACGGUUAAGGGAUUCUCAAGCAUCUGCUCUUAUAAAUGCAGCAGCAGCCCAGAUACCAAGUCUCAUUAAUAAGAUGGAAAGGGCAGGUCAUCUACCUGAAUGUCAUUUGGGGAUGCUGCUGGACCGAGCUGAGGCUGAAAUUAAUUCUGUUAAACAGAAAUUCGAUCAUGAUUUAAAACAAGAAAAGCAAAAGCUUCGCCAGAAACUCAUUACAAGGCGAAGGCGGGAAGUGCUGCAAAAGCAGAAAGAGCAUCGGAAGGAGCAGCUGUCCCUUGGAGAGACCUUCAGAACUACUAAGGAGGUCACUCACUACCUGGGCCACUGGAAAAAUCUUUUGAGUGAUCACACCAUUGAAUUUGAAGAGCUUACUGAAAAACUUGACAAUGAGGCCAGUGAAGAGCUGAAAGAGCUUGUGUUUGGUUUAACAGAGAAAGCCAUUGAAGAGCUUAAACGUGUUCAGUGUGGAGUAUUUGUGCAAGAACUGGUAAAGCUCAGUGUGCCAAAGGUGUUCCUGCUAGAAGCUGUAGAGGAGCAUAAAAAAGAGAUGGUUGAUAAACAUGAGCAGCUUGAAAGGGAAGAGCAUGAAAAGAGCGCAGCCACUGAAGAGCUGCUUCAGCUCACCAGGCAGAAGCUAAGCCAAGAGUUAGAAACAAGCAUUUUGGAACAAAAAAAAUUAAGGAGCUGGGAACAAUCAGUAUUCAUGCAACUUCUAAGUUUACCCCUCUCACUAUCAGAAGAAGAAUUGCGUAGAAUGAGGCAAGAGUUGCAUUGCUGCUUCUCUCAGGUGGACAGCAGCUUAGCUUGGCCCAAAAUAAGAGCGAGAACCUUGCUUCAGGCUUUCGAGGUCGAGCAGAGGGAUGCGGAGGUGCUGAAAGUCGACCAGAAUUUAGCAGUGACCAGUAAACAGCCGCAUUCUAAAGUGAAAAAAAAUGGAUCCAGGAAUAGAAAUAAGAUGGAUAUUUUGAAGAAAUCUUUACAGGACAAAAUUUUCAUUUAUGAAGACUCUGUGAAAGAUGAAAAUUUGAAUAAGGUUAAGCACGAGUUGCUGCUUGAGAAAGAGUGUCAGCUGCGCGACCUGGAAAAUAAACUUGGAGAGUAUAUUGCUGCUUUAGCUUUUCAGAAGACUGUUAAAAAAUCCAAAAUGUUGGAGCUGUAUACUGCUAUCAUAAGUGUGCAAGCUUUGCUCUUCGAACAACUGAGCACGUCAAAAGCCCUGUCAAAACUGGAAUGUAUUCAGAUUUUAGAAGCACACAACCCUGAGAUUGAAGAACUUGACAGGAAGCUGGAGUAUGAGAUGUUGCAUAAGGAGUUAGCUCAGCAGCAGCACCAUCUAAUGAGCAGACAGAGGUGGAGUCUGGAUGGCUUGGGACUUUCAAGUGAAGCUGUAGAAACAAAUGCAGACAGACAGGUGACAGUUCUGCUAAGACAGGCUAUGAAUAAAUGUGGGCAAUUUAUAAAUCUGCAUCAGCAAAGCUUGAGAGAUGAGCAAUGGAAUUGCGUGGUGCUUGAAGAUCUCCUGGAAAAUAUAGAAAUGGAUGCAUUAUUGGCACUUUAUAGUCAGGACAUCCUUUUGGUAAAAUGCCUUCUUGCAAAAGAAAAGAGUGAUUUAAUAAAGGCAUCUCAUGGGUGUGUUUGCUACUCUGGAAAUUGGUCAUGCGAAGCAAGAGGCAGAGUUCAAAUAUUUACUGUGACACAUUGAAUCCAUUGUGGACAAAGAAAUUGACUGUCUUCAAGCAUGGUGGGACCUUGUAGGUUUUUUAUGUGACAUGGGCUUUGUGGUCAUCUCCUCAUCAAGUUUAUAGGAGAGUCUGCAGAGCAGAGGUGACUCGGCUGUCGUGAGUCAUCUCGAACAUUUGGCACAUCUUACCUAACUUCACCUACCUGAGAUGCAUGGAUGGUUUGAAUAGACUACAACAGUUUUUUUUUCUGGCAUCCUUUGAGGAAUUUAACUUGUUUUAUUUUGCUCAACUCUUUUCUUUCCAUGUAGUUCUCAAUACAUUGGAGACUUUUCAUAUUUGUUACACAGACACGAGGUGUCUGCAGAAACAGCCCUGGAGACACAGUAGUUUUGAAAGCAGAGCAGAAAACAACAGGAUUUUGGGGUUUGGAGGGGGAAAUGGGGCUGGUUGAUUGUCUAGGGAGCAACUACAUUUGAACUUAGUCUAUUUGAGCACUAUGUUAAUAUGGUCUACUACUGACCUUUGGGCAAAAAAAGAGAGGACAUUUGGAAAAAAAAUAAACCCCAAACCAAAACAAAACCAGAUUUUUCCUUCACCUCUUAACAAAUGUUAUUACAAGCUGCUCUCUGAGUUUAUCACAGAAUCUUGUGUUAAGAGAGGCUGCACAAUGAAGUGCUCAGCCCUGGCAACAUAUAAAUGUUGUCAUUAGGUUUCAGAGGCUAUUUUUUCUCCCUUAAUUUUGCAGAGCCCGGAAUGCUAUAUAGCUUCAUUACUAUCUUGAAAGCAUUUCUUCAUAAUAGUACAAGCCAUAAAUUAACUAAACCUUACAUGCUAGAUUAUGGUUGCAUUGUGUUUUUUCAGACCGAAGGGCAUCAAAAUCAUAGAAUAGUUAGGGUUGGAAAGGACCUUAAGAUCAUCUAGUUCCAACCCCCC